CCUAGAACUCACUCUGUAGAUCAGGCUGGCCUCAAACUCACAGAGAUCCACCUGCUUCUGCCUCCUGAGUGCUGGGAU
rnacentral:miRNA from 14 species